rnacentral:rRNA from 1 species
UACGUAGGGGGCAAGCGUUGUCCGGAUUUACUGGGCGUAAAGGGCUCGUAGGUGGCCAACUAAGUCAGACGUGAAAUCCCUCAGCUUAACUGGGGAACUGCGUCUGAUACUGGAUGGCUUGAGUUUGGGAGAGGGAUGCGGAAUUCCAGGUGUAGCGGUGAAAUGCGUAGAUAUCUGGAGGAACACCGGUGGCGAAGGCGGCAUCCUGGACCGAUAUUGACGCUGAUGCGCGAAAGCCAGGGGAGCAAACGGG